UAGACAGCCCCAAUUU
rnacentral:rRNA from 1 species